CGCAGAUGCUGAAGUCGAAGCGACAGGCGCGCACAUCUCUUAGGGGCUGAGCGCAUCCACUACCGGACACGGUAGAGGAAAGAUCAGCCGGUGUGCAUCCGACAGGGAUCCCCGCACAGCGGGGUAGGAUGCUCAGAACGAGUCGCUCCGUGGGCAGCAGUACUUGAAGAGCUGCAGUCCAUCCACUGGAGCGCUUUAAGAUUGAUCUCGAAUCAAUUCCUCUGGCUUUUUAAGAAACGCCACCGUCCAGUUUAGUAUCUUGAACCAGUUUGAGGAAAGAUCGGGGUUUGGCUUGGACACGAUGUGGAAGUCUGGGACACUACUGCUGCUGUCGGUGCUGUGGGCGUCCGGUGAACUCCAGCAGGAGACAGAGCCGCGGAGACUACCACCUCCGGGAAAGUUGGAUUUUGGUUAUGUGCCUGCGGGAGUUUACGAGACAUUGGCUCAUUACGAACCCGGACCCAUAGGGAUCCUCUUCCACUUGGUGCACGCUUUCCUGCAUGCGGUGCAACCCAACGCUUUCCCCCACGAUCUUAUUGUGAAGCUGGCAAAGGACAAGUUUGGAGCCAUUCAAACAGAAUAUCAAAAGCCAGAGAACAUAGUGCUGACCCUGCAGGCCAUCUAUUAUGAGAUAGGCUUCCUCAUAUGUGCAGCGGUGGGUCUGCUCUUCGCCAUCCUCAUGCCGGUUGUGGGACUCUUCUUCUGCAUGUGCCGCUGCUGCGACAACUGUGGUGGUGAGAUGCACCAAAGGCAGAGGAAGAACGCGGACUGCCGGCGCGGCCUGCUGGGAACGUUGCUCUUCUCCACCUCGCUGGUCAUCACGAUUGGAAUACUUUGUGCGUAUUCAGCCAACCAGAAUCUGAGCUCUCAGGUGAAGAACAUACGCCGUCUGGUUAACAGCAACAUGAGGGACCUGCACACCUUUGCUAAUGACACACCUAUGCAAAUUGAUUACCUAAUAUCCCAAUACGCCACUGUCAAGAACAAAGUCAACUAUGACCUAGAUAACAUAGGUCCAUUACUCGGAGGAAGGAUACAUGUACGGUUGGAUAAAGAGGUCCAUCCUGCUUUAAACCAAGUGCUUAAUAUGGCUGGAGUGAAAAUCCAGAGAGCCAUCAAAGCCAUGAGGGAAACCAAGGAGGCCCUGGAGAACGUCAGUGUGUCUCUGGUGGUCUUACAGGAAGGAGCUGGAAAACUUCAUUUCAACCUGAGCCAAGUCCGCGACAGCAUCAACCGCACCCUCGAUGACCCUGGGUGUCAUGACGAGGAAUCGGACGCCACCACGGCCCAGCUUUGCCGCAGCAUCCGCCAGUCCCUGUCCCAGCUACAAAUCAGUGCGAAUUUCACCCGGCUUCCUAAUGUGAGCCCUCAGCUGGAAAAGAUGAAAAAUGUAGUGAAAACAGAUCUCAGCUCUGUCGUCCACAGGGGGUUUUCCUCUUUGAAUGACACUCCGCACAUUGUGAUUGAACAGACAAGAAGCGUUGUCAAUAGUGUCCAGAAUUUACUGGACAGUAUUGGCAACAACAUCAGCAGCUUCUCCAAAGCUUUCCCUGUGCAGACCUGUUUGUCUAACUUCACCAUCUUCAUCAGCCACGCACACGCCAAAAUCGAAGACUACUAUCCUGAAAUUGAUAAACUGGACUUCUACAGAUGGAUCGGCUGCAUCGCUCUGUGCUGCAUGGUGGUUCUGGUUUUGGCCUUUAACUAUCUGGGCCUUCUGUGCGGCACCCUGGGAUACGACAAGCAUGCCUCUCCCACGACACGAGGAUGUAUCUCCAAUACGGGAGGAACACUGCUGAUGGCUGGUGUUGGAUUUAGCUUCAUUUUCUCCUGGAUGCUUAUGGGAGUGCUGACCACCAUCUUUCUGGUUGGAGGAAACAUGGAGAAACUUCUUUGUGAGCCAUUUCACACCAAAGAACUCUUGAAGGUCGUUGACACCCCAUACUUGAUCAAGCCAGAGUGGAAGAAUUUCAUUCCAGGCUACAUGUACAAUGACUCUGAAUUGGAGCUGACAUCGGAAAGCUUGUACAGUACAUGCAAACAGAACAAAGGCAUCUACUCUGCCCUGCGUCUGGAUAAAGUCUUCAACAUCUCAUCGUUCCUGAACACCUCAGUGUUCACUAAGGAUGUGGUGCGUCAGCUGGAGAACUUUCAGAUUGAUCUGAGAGCGAUAAUCCUUUUAGAAGCAGAGGGGAAGCAGAACCUCCUAGAUUUCUCUGAAGCUGGCCUAUCAGAGAUCAACUAUGCUGACUACCUUGACGAGGUGAAUAAAGGAGUCACUGUGGUGGAUGUUCUGUCAUUCGCCAAAGAGCUGGAGUCCCAGACAGACCUGAUGCCCAGGGGACCUCUGCAGACAGCUCUGAAGGGCCAUGUGGCCACUCUGCAGCGGGUCCACAGACAACAGAUCGCUCCAAUGGAGCAGGCCAUGAAAUAUGUUAGAGCAAGGAGUGCAUUGAACCAGAGUAUGAGAUUCCUGGAGAGGACAGCUUCUGACCUCCCGAACAAAGUCACAGAUGUUCUUGAGACCAUUGAAGCUGCUCAGCACCUCAUCUCCCAGAAUGCAACACUUUUAAUCAAUCAGGAAACAAGAAAAUACUCAGCAACCAUUAUUGGCUAUUUCAAUCAGUACAUAGAAUGGGUCAAAACAUCAUUGGCUUUGGAGGUUGCACCAUGCAAGCCCUUCAGCAACAUCUUGGACACGGCGCAGAUCAUGACCUGCAGUUUCCUGGUGGAUUCUAUGAACACUUUCUGGAUGGGUUUGGGCUGCAGCACACUGUUCUUGCUCCCAAGCGUAAUACUAGCUGUGAAACUAGCCAAGUACUACCGCAGGAUGGACACAGAGGAUGUUUAUGAUGACUCCUCUGUUUCUGGGACCUGGCAUUUUACCUUGUGAUAACCAUUCCUACUAUUUCCAUCUUCCAUAUUUUUUAUUUUAUUUCUUCAUUCUUCUUUGUCAAGCACUUGGCACUUUACAAAGAAAAGACACUGAUAAAUUAGUUAAUUCUUAUUUCUUCUUCAUGGGCCUUUUUUCAUGUUCAGACUCUGUGAACUCAUUGCUUUAUCUACAGUAGUAGUAAUUGUAAUAUCUCAGCUGAUCAACUGCAUCUCCCUCUGUGCAGUCAGUGCUGGAUUGCACAGAAGGACUUUUGAUGCAUUUCUUUUACUGAAAAUCUCAAUAACAUUUUUAUGUUCCUGUUUUCUGUGUAUCUCCAUAGCGUUGAGACAAUUCCCAUGAAAAAGUAAGAUGUUCUUCCCCAACAUCCUUUUCAUUUUAACUUCUCUCACUCUGUGCUUUUUUUUCUAAGUAAUGUAUAUAGAAAGCUGUUUACUAAAUUCUUGGUGCUCGUUUGCAUUUUUGCUCAUGUGGGUGGGCGAUGUGGCUUUUUGUCAUGUGCUAUGUUUAAGAAGUGCCCCUUACAGUACCUUUCAUGAAGGGCUCUUGCAAUCAUUAAAGUGUUUUUUGUAAAAAAAAAAUAUAUAUAUAUAUAUAUAUAUAUAUAUAUUGUGUAAAUAAAACACUAAGGUUUAUACUCAGAACAUAUUCAUCUCCUGAUAUUGUUUAAAGAUUCAUCCACAUAUAAAGGAAAACAAAGAAAACAUUUUAUUCAGCAUGUCGCAUUUCUCAUUUUUCAUUCCAUUUUUCUUCACAAUGUUUUAUUUUCAGUAUGGAAAUUGGUAAUAAUGGUUAUCAUAGUGAGAGUUCACAAGGUAUUCCUAAUCCUAUGAUGACAAGGUAAAUUUUCCAUUUAUCCUGCUGACUGCAUGUCAUGGUGGAGGUGGAUGCAUGCCUGGGAAGUUGGUUUUAUAUAUAAUAUGGCUGAACACAGUGCAUGCUUUCAGAGGGAGUCAUUUCAAGAUGCACACAUGCAUAAGUAGGUGUGAUAUUAUAGCAGACCUUUAAACUGGCAAGUUGUGGUAGCUUUUAUUAGAAACAAUCCAGAAUCAGUUUUUUGAUCUAUGAUAAAAAGUGCUUUAAAAUGAAUUUCAGCAGUGGUUUAACAUUUGGGGUGAAAUGUGGGAUUUGCUGAUGAACAUCAGAUCAUAGCCCUGCUGUUUUCUUUGGGGAUGAAAUAUGGAGCAGAAUAAAGAACAAUUUGUGUUAGUCAACUUGAAGACUGGGGAUUAUUGGAAAACAAAUACUAAUAAAGGUUUGUCUUAGAGAGUAUCUAAAGCUAGUACACAUAAAUCUUUUAAAAGUGCCAUUUGCACAAUCAAUAUUUUAAAUAUCACAACUUAAAGAAAUGUAACUGCAAUUUAUAUUUAGUCAAAAUAUUUGCUUAACACAGUAAGCAAAGGUAAACUACAGGUGAGUAUUAGAAAAUAAGAGCUGAAACAUCUUAAUAGAGAAAAAGAAGGAGCUCAUUUUGUUACUAUAUAUCAAAAAUUACAGUCUUUACUCUGAGGAAAGCUGUACCCUUAUUUAAACUCAUCAAAGAGAAAUGAGGGUGUCAGUUUCCAAUAAUCAUUCUGACUCUUCCACCUCCCAACAUUGAUGUUGGAAGGCUGAUGAAUCUGUCUGCUACCACUACUUCACUGUCAUGUUGUAAAUGUUCUGCUUGGUGGUUUUGGGGGAAUCUAUCGUAUUACUAACCAACUGCUUUCUUUCUGAUGCUGGGAAAUUCCUGUGGAAUGAAAUGAAACCUUCUCCUGUUUCCUCUCGUUUAGUGUCGGCCAAAAUCCGAUGAAUGUACACCUGAUCAUUUUGUUCAGAGAGAGGCAAGCAUGUUAAGCUUUCGUGUGUCCCUGGAUAUGAUGCUACUUUUGAUUUUCUUUUCUGACUCUAACCAGAUGUCUUUUUAAGUUGCAUUUGGAUGCAGAUGAGUUGGCACAAUCCAACAAGAUAAACACAGAGAGUAAAACAUCUCAAUGAGGGGUUGCUCUGACUUGUUGCAGUUUGAAAAAAUAUGAGUUUCAUUUCCAGUUUGAACUUGCAAGAUUAAUGCAACUUUUUGUUAAACCUUAUCUUUCUAUUUGAGUUGCAUUAAGCUUUUGGAAUGAAACUCGUGCAUCAAUAGGAGUAUUACAUAAGUUAAUUCGCAUAGUUUAGUUGAUCAACAAUAAAUGACUCUGUUUGCACAGUAAGCUACUCAGAGACUGUUUUGCUCUCUGUUGUAUGAAGUGCUCACCCUUCUCCUCUUGCCAUCAAAAGGAAGUGAAUGUGAAAUGUUGAGUCUGUCUGGUAACGUUUUUCCAUGUGUGCGUGUUUGUUCCUGUGAUGGUAGCGUCCCAACAUAUGACACAAUGAACAGGUUUCCCCGGGCCUCGGCUCCUCCGAGGCACAUCGACUGGUGAGAGUCAGCUCUCGCUUGGCUCCAGAAAGGUACUGGUAACACAAAACGACGACUCUGUCUCUCUAACACCGAUUUCCUCACACCUCUCCUCACAGCCGUCCUGCUGAGUCAGCGAUCAUCUGUUUUAAAUCUUAUAUUGCUAAUGUGGUAACACUCUUAACACCUGUUCACAGCUUGUUUUAGUGCUUUUUCUGCUUGCUGAAAUGCCAUCAUGGUGAGAAUGACUAAAUUUACUGUAGAUGCUCAUGACUCUCAGUGUUUUAGAGAGAAGAAACCUUCAAUUUUAUGUUGAUUUAUAUUUAGGAUAAUAUCCUGCAGUUUAGAAAACAUUCUCUGAUGUGUCUACUAGCCUCUUGUGAGUGGUUGUGUUCAGUUAGUGCAUGAGCGAUGUGAAACCCUUUUAUAUGUAGUUAUCUCCACCUAACAGCACCUUCCACCUUGAAUGAAAUCACUUUGUGUAACGCCUUAAAAAUAUUUUCAGUCUAAUAUGUCUUACAGCAGCAUCAUCUCACAAUAACAAUAAUAAAAAAUUUUAAAAAUCCGACCUUUAGUCCUCUCAGGCUCAAAUUACUUGCAAAGACUAGCUAAGUAGCAUUUAGCUGUUGCAAAUCUGCAACAUCUGCCUGGAGAGGGUUAAUUUGAGUACAUUUGAGAAAUGCUACAGCAUUGUUGUUUUCUUUUAGAUUAUUGCAACUACCUUUAUAGACCUUUUACAUGUUUUCAGAAGAGCCACCAAUCGAUUAGCUUUGAUGGGAUUAUUUGGUGAAAUGCAGAUUCGACCAACUCUGGAUUUUGUGAAGAUCUCUGCAGUCUCAGAGUCACAGAGCCUGCACUACAUUACAAAUAUUUAUUAAGAAUCUAAGGAACUGCAAUAAAAUCUUAACUUAUUUUAGGGAUAUUUCUGUUUUGAAAUAUUUUUCUUGCGUCGUGAUAUCUAAAGUAUCUUUCUCUGUUUUUUGUCCUUGCAGUGCCCUUGACAACUGGAACUAAACAUCAUGCUCACUUGAUGAACUUCAACAUAUUGCUGGUUUCUUCACUUCAAAAGAAGAACAAGGAAGGUGCUUGUUCAAUGAUGCAGAUCAAAUUCUCCAGUUUGGUUUCUGCCGGCAGGACGCUAACCUUAUCAGCCCUCAGCAUCAAUCUGAGCCGGGUUUCAUCUACAUUUUCCAGGACUGCUGUGUCUGUGUUUACAUUUGUUUGGACACAAAACCAAGUUGAAAAAGCCCUUGAGAGGACAUAACAUUGACUGUUGUGUUUGCUCAUUUUUAUGAACUUUGUGCUCAAGAAAAGAGAAGCUGGAGAAAGUUAUAUUUUCUUCAGUUAAAAAGGGUGUUGCACUUUCAAAGUGAGUGUCAAAAGGCAGGUUUCAUAAAGAUCUGAUUGUUUUGUUGAAAAAAUGCAUCCUUUUUAACUGAGACACAAGUGUGUGAUAUUUUACCAGUUGAGAAAAGGCUUGUGUGAACAUAACAACUUGUGGAGAGAAUUUGUAAGAAAACGAAGCAUGACUAUUUUUUUUUCUUAAGUUGUUUACAAUAUUUCCAGACAUGUUGGUUUUGUUGAUUUUAGGUGGCUAUGGGUCAAUUUUCCUCUUUGACAAUUCAAAACCUCAUUCAAAUGUAGGCAUUUUGUCCCCAAAUUCUUCCAUUUCUUACCUGUAAAACACACAACUUGUAUCUUCUUGAUCAAAUCUCAGGAAUAGUUUAAUAAAUAAAAUACAAUUUUAUUUCUUAAAAAAAUUAUAUUGCACCUUUUUUUAUUGGUUUUGACUCAUAUCUGCUUGGACCGGUCUCAUUGCAGUCCCAUGACAAAAAAGAUGUUUUUACAGUAGAAGCAAAACACCAAAAAUAACAUCAAGUCAAUGGUCAAAUUGGGUACAAAAUGUCCCCUGACUGAAUUUUGGUAUGCAACAUCCAGUGACAAAUGUUAUAUAAUAACAACAGAUGUUGCUAUUGUUGGUAUGCAACAACUAUUCAGUGAAAAUGGCAAAACUGGAAAAGUAUGAAAUGGCAAAAGCGCAACAUGACCCAUCUGUAUGCAAGAAACACUGAAGAGGACUCUUCCUUUGAGAUGUUUUACCAUGACGUUGCAGUUAAAAAAGCCCAUAUCACUUUGUUAAAUUUAAAAAAUUUAGGAAAUGCCCUUUCUGUACCAUUUAAACUUGUGUCAGGUGUUAACAUUUGCCAUUUAUUUGUAAGUCAGAGUGGUAAAUUGUUCUAAAGUGAUUCUUCUACUUGGAGUUUUAAACACCAAAUUUCAGAAUUAUUUUGAAUAGUGGGUUUAGAAAAAAACACAAAUUCUUGAAGCCAGGGACACAUGACCAGUCAUUUUCCUUUGUUAUGGUAAAAAAAAAAAAAAAAAUCCCCAUCACAACCACACUGUAACACCAAAUGACAAAUUUGUACCAAAUGCAUAACCGAUGUGUUUUGGUUGAACUAUCCAUUUAAAUAAUACAGUACAGUUGGAGAAUAAUAGUAAAAAUAACAUCAACUUCUAUUUCCUCUACGUACCACAUGUGUUCAUUUUCAGGUCUUUCCUGCUUUAUGGUACUCAUAAUUUUAAAGUGGAAUGUUAACUCUCAAGCCAAAUCCCAUAUUUUUAAAUUGUCUUUCUCUUGCACGCUUUUUGCCCUUUGCCUGCUUUUUUGUUAAACAAUAUUUCUGAAUACAUAGAACUUUUGAAUGUGUUCAUUCAAUAAUCAUUGCUUUAUGUAGAGGCUGAGUGGGAAAUAUGCUGAUAUUGUUACAUCAGGGAGGCCAAUCAACAUAUCCUAUAUGUCAUAUUUCUAUACAGAUGCUUUCUCCAGUGAGAGCUUAGACAAUCCAUUUAUGGGACGAAUGAGCACCAUCAAUCAGAUUGUUGAAAAGAAGGAUUUUUCAUGGUUUACACAGAUCUGGUUUAUGUGGACUGUGAAAAAAGCAAUACCUGCCUUAGCAACCAAAAUCUGGAUUUUUUUCAUCACUGUAAAUGCACAAUAACUAUAAACAUUUACCAGGUAGUAGAUUAUGCAAUAUCCAUAUAUAAAGGUUAACAAAAGUCAGUUUUUAUGUGAAUCAAAAAAAAAAAAAUUUUAACUGUAAUAGGAAAAGGUGGUCUAAAUUUAAUACUUUAUCCAUAAUUGUUAUAUUACAUUUGUUUUAUACUCCAACAAAUCCAUUUUAGAUCCAAGUUUGCAAUUGUUUUUAAAAGACAAAGUCCAUGGGCUUGAAUAAAAAAAUAAACAAUGUGUCAGUUAAGACGUCGCUAAAGAGAAUACUAACAUUUAACAACUUUUAAUUAGAUUACCAUGACAAGGAUUAAAAAUUAACCCACUUUUGUAGAUUUUUGUGCACAUCUGACUUCUAUAAAGCUAAUAACUGUAAUUUGCAGUCAAAGUACUGAAAAUAUUUACCAACAGUUUACAAGUUUUGCUGUGCUACAAUGACUUUACACACUAUUUUUAUUAAUUUUAUUUCUCCAAAGGAAAUACUGUUUACCAUAUUAAAAUGUCCCAGCUGUGCUUUUCCAUAAUGUGAACUCUGUUUCCUCCCAGUGCUCUCUUUUUUUGCUUGCUUCAUUUACAAACAUAGUUUUCCUCAAGGUGGACAUUUUUAGAUGAUCGCUGUGCUCAUGUUGACUAUCACAGUUUUACUCCUUGCUGGAGUAUGGUAAUGCAUUUAUGGGGACAAAUUCACAACUUAAGUGCUUAAAUUAGGUAUAUAUGAUAGCUUUGUGUUGAUCAGAUGAAUGGGUGGCUGGUUUGAAAUGUGAUGCUGAGCAGUUGGAUGAUGGAUCCAGGAAGAUGCUUGUUUUUUAUGUGGAUAUGACAAAAGUGUAUAAAUUGUGAAUAAACUCUCCAUUUCAAGUUA